rnacentral:rRNA from 1 species
UACGUAGGGGGCAAGCGUUGUCCGGAUUUAUUGGGCGUAAAGAGCGUGUAGGCGGCCAAACAGGUCAGCUGUGAAAACUCGAGGCUCAACCUCGAGACGUCGGUUGAAACCGUCUGGCUAGAGUCCGGAAGAGGAGAGUGGAAUUCCCGGUGUAGCGGUGAAAUGCGCAGAUAUCGGGAAGAACACCCGUGGCGAAGGCGGCUCUCUGGGACGGUACUGACGCUGAGACGCGAAAGCGUGGGGAGCGAACAGG